rnacentral:rRNA from 1 species
AUGCAUGCUCGAGCGGCCGCCAGUGUGAUGGAUAUCUGCAGAAUUCGCCCUUGGAUUAGGCAUGCAAGUCGAGCGAGAAACCGGAGCUUGCUCCGGGAGUAAAGCGGCGAACGGGUGAGUAAUGCAUGGUCAAUCUACCUUCGAGUUGGGAAUAACUCCGGGAAACUGGAGCUAAUACCCGAUGGUCUUUUGGUGUCGCAUGGCACCGAAAGUAAAGCUAGCUGGGGCAACCCAGCCUUCGCUCGAAGAGGAGACCAUGUCCCAUCAGCUUGUUGGUGAGGUAACGGCUCACCAAGGCGACGACGGGUAGCCGGGCUGAGAGGCUGUCCGGCCACACUGGCACUGAGACACUGGCCAGACUCCUACGGGAGGCUGCAGUCGAGAAUCUUCCGCAAUGGGCGAAAGCCUGACGGAGCGACGCCGCGUGAGGGAUGAAGGCCUUCGGGUUGUAAACCUCUGUCACCGGUUAUGAAAUGAUCAUGGGUUAAUAGCCCAUGGUCUUGACAAAGGCCGGAGAGGAAGUCACGGCUAACUACGUGCCAGCAGCCGCGGUAAUACGUAGGUGGCAAGCGUUACUCGGAAUCACUGGGCAUAAAGCGCGCGUAGGCGGCUGCGUAAGUCGGGUGUGAAAUCCCUCGGCCUAACCGAGGAACUGCGCCCGAAACUGCAUGGCUUGAGGCUGGAAGGGGAGAGUGGAAUUCCCGGUGGAGCGGUGAAAUGCGUUGAUAUCGGGAGGACGCCGGCGGCGAACGCGACUCUCUGGUCCAGCUCUGACGCUAUGUGCGAAAGCUAGGGGAGCAAACGGGAUAGAUACCCCCGUAGU